rnacentral:rRNA from 1 species
AUUGAACGCUGGCGGCAGGCCUAACACAUGCAAGUCGAACGAGUGGCGGACGGGUGAGUAAUGUCUGGGAAACUGCCUGAUGGAGGGGGAUAACUACUGGAAACGGUAGCUAAUACCGCAUACCAUCGGAUGUGCCCAGAUGGGAUUAGCUAGUAGGUGGUGUAAAGUCUCACCUAGGCGACGAUCCCUAGCUGGUCUGAGAGGAUGACCAGCCAAUCUGGAACUGAGACACGGUCCAGACGCUGACGGGAGGCAGUAGUGGGGAAUAUUGCCCAAUGGGCGCAAGCCUGAUGCAGACAUGAAGAGUGUAUGAAGAAGGCCUUCGGGUUGUAAAGUACUUUAAGCGAGGAGGCGUUACUCGCAGAAGAAGCGCCGGCUAACUCAGGGCCAGCAGCCGCGGUAAUAC